rnacentral:sRNA from 1 species
CAAUUAGAUAAUGAGUGUGGCCAUUGUCUAGCUAGCAGUUUUACUUAGAAUGCAAGGUGUUGCUUUGAAGGUUCAACAAUCCAUACAGGCAGACUAAGAUGAAAUACUGGACCAGAGUAUCUGCUAAUUCACACGUCCCUUUCAAUGUGAGAUAUUCUUUUCAUGCUGCUAAGCUGAACGACAGAGGCUACUCUAUGAUUGUCCUCACACUAACUGCCAGUUACAAGAUCUUUUGAUUAAAAUUAUCCUAUCAAUUUGAGUCCACAUAUAUUUCGAUACAUGUACAUUAGAUUCCUGCAUAUAUGUAUUAGUAGUAUUUUAGCUUGUUAGUACAAUCUUGUUGUCUACGGAGUACCUAGGUAACCUAUAAAAUUUUGUGCUGUGUAUUUGUCCUCUAUCUGAUUCUCUGUGCUAUGAUCAUCUGGUAAUCAGUGGCUGUUCCAAGUUGUUCUACUCAGCUUCCUUCCAGUUCUUUGCACCCAGCCAUCAACAGAUAAGUUCGUUUCAUCAGGACGAAUUCUCUGUGUAGAAAAUUAUCGGCAUAUUUAUUUGAGUGGGCCAUCAUUUCUGUGUCAGCAGGCAAGAAUAGCUUCCAAUAAUCAUGUUGGGUUUCUAAUGCUGCAGGCAUUAUCUUGUCCUCUAGUAGUAGUUUUUUUUCCCCCUAAACAAUCUAUUUCAUGCUGUUUGGACUUUGUACGGAUGGGGGAAAAUAAAC